AGCUGUAGAGGAUUCCAUCUGGUGAAGAAGGGGUAGAGGUGGGCUCUGCUUUGUGCUCUUUGUCCCUUGUAUCUGUGGCGACACUGUCACUGCUGUGUGUGUUUCAGGUCCUACCUUGCCUUAACUUAAAGAACUUGGAUGGACGAAUGCUACAUCUUGUCCAAAUCUACCUGUUGAGGAAGUGCAGUGUAAUGCGUCUCCUGGUGCUCAGAUGCCUCGUGGCACUCUGCAAGAGACCCUCUAUGGAUGCCAGCCAUGUGCAGCUGCUCUCCAUUCGACUCUUUCAAGCGGUGAUGGAGUUGGUAGAUCAAGAAGAACGAAAACCCCUGAAGGACUGUGUGCACCAAAGCCUGCUCCCGCUUUUCUACCACAUGCAUGAUGA
rnacentral:lncRNA from 1 species